AUCCAGAUGACGGGUCUCAAAUAGGACGAAAUGCGCAUCCUGGAA
rfam:Trichobilharzia regenti genome assembly, scaffold: TRE_scaffold0001236